rnacentral:ncRNA from 1 species
GAUAUAUUUGAUCUUUUUAUAUAGAAAUUGGUUUUAUUUUUAUAUUACAUGUAAAUUUUUGUGUGGUUUUUUAAUCUUAAAGGUUAUUAAUUUAUUAUUUGCAGUUUUUAAUUUUAUUAAUUCAGUUAUUUGAGAACUAUUAAAUUGUAAUUUGAAUUAUAAAAAGUUGUGCCAGCAUAUGCGGUUAUACCUCUAAUAUUCUAAUUAAUUUUUUUGAUAAAUAUUUGAUUUUGUUAGGUGAAAUUUUAAUUUAUUUUUAUUAGGUGAAAUUUUAAUUUAUAAUUUUUUUAGGAUAAUGAUUAAUAUAAAAGUAGAAAUUAAAACUAGGAUUAGAUACCCUAUUAUUUUUAUUAUAAUUUAUAUUCAUAUUAUUAAUAGUUAUGUUCUUUAAAGUAUAAUGAUUUGGCGGUAGUUUAAUCCUUUCAGAGGAACCUGUAUUUUUAUCGAUAAUCCACGAUUGGUUUUACUUUAAUUUUUGCUUGUAUACCUCUGUCAUUGAGUGUCUUAUUAGGGUAUUUUCUUAAAUUUUUAUGAAUUUAAUGUCAAGUCAAGGUGCAGUUAUAUUAAAGUUUUUAUGGGUUACAUUUAAUUUAUUUAUUAAAUAUAAAAAUUAAUUUUUUUUUGAAAUAGGAUUUGAUAGUAAUUUUUAUAAAAUAUUAAAUUUGAUUUUUGGUUCUAAACUAUGUACAUAUCGCCCGUCACUCUCAUCUUAAAAUGAGAUAAGUCGUAACAAAGUAAUUCUAUUGGAAAAUGGAGUUUGUAUAUUC